rnacentral:lncRNA from 1 species
AUUGAGCCUGUGUUGAGGACAGUGACAGAAACAUAGAAGCUUAGUUCCGUGUCCUCAGAAGCAAGCUCAGCACCAUUCUAGGUGUGACAGAGGAUCGGUAACAUGCAGAAUGGGCUCCUGUGUACCAGCAGCUAUUUCCCAUUCCUCAGUUUCUCUGUCUGAAGAACACAAGGACAUUCUUCAUGGCUGGUGACUCUUCGAGGCAUUUGCCCUGUUUGGUGUUCAUGACUUUGGAAAGGGCACCGUAAACAGAGAUUCAGGAACACUGAUGCUGGAUGCUGUCCAUGAUGCCAUAACUACUUUUAGAUGCCCUGUCUCCCUAGACUCCUGUUGCCUGUGACAGUUCAUCUGACUUUUCCAGGUAAAUUGAAAAGGGAUUUGAUAGAGUAUCCCAGUGUGCAUCCUUUAAAUCUUUGAUAGUGGCACUAAACUCUGCAAAUCUUCCAGGGUAUUCUUCUGCUCUGGAUUUAUUAUCCUGAUCAAGGAUUGGGGGAAACUUAAGAGAUUUCCACUUGGGCCUUCCUGUCAUAUGGUACAUGCUUGUUUUAAGUCAAGUCCUUAGAAAACUUGUUUCUACCCUGACUUCAGCUGAUCCAUAGCCAAACAUAUUCUCACUUUGUUUUUCCUACUUAUGAAAUGGAUUAGAAAAUUGUCGCUGCUCUAACAUUUCUGGAAACAUAGAAACUGAACUUAUAUAUUUAAUCAGGUAAGAUAAAACUGUAAAAUAGAAAGACAUUAAUUUCUUUCAAAACUUGUUCUUUAUUUUUUUUCCUACCCUAGGUUAUCACCUAGAAGUAUAAAUCUUUCAAAAAGAAUAAGCUAAUGAUGCACACAAAAUAAUGUGAUUAGACCAGCUAUUAACAAACUCUUAGUGCAUGUGAUAAACUAAAGUUUCCAUAAAAAAGGAUAUUCAGGGUUCUAAUUUUGGGCAAAAACAUGUUGAAUCAACUUAAAUUGGUUUGUUUACCUCAGAAAAUUCCAUACUAUUUAAUAUAAGAAUCUAAUAUAAUUGUUGAUGUAUAUGCGUGUGUGUCUAAGUUGGACAUUUGUUAGGCAAAAUAUUUUUAAAUUUCUUGAUAAAACUUGUUUUAGUUUUAAUUCUCAAACCUUCCUUUAUAAUCAUUGAAGUAGAAAAAAAUAUUUUGGAAUUUGGUGCCUGUUUUUCAGUACGCUCAUUUAAUUAGGUCGCAAAAUGAAUACUAGCACUUCUGAACAGUGCUGAGAAAUUGCUUUAAAUGUUUCCAUUGCAUUCUAAUAUUCUACAUAUAUUGGGACCUAGCUAGCUUUGUUGUGAUUAAUUUAGCCAACAAAUAUUGUCUUAUAUUUGACAAUUGUUUUUACCAGUUUAUUCAUUAGAGCUAUUUUUUAAUCAGGAGUCACUGAAAUCAGCAGCUCUGAUGGAUGUUACAAGCUUAACAAUGAUUCUCUCCAUAUUACUGACCCCAAAUGUUUAGAGUAAUUAAAUUUACAAAUAAGAACAUUUAUUAUAUUUAAUAAUAGAUGAUAGAUGUUUAGUAAGUUUACUAUGAAUCACAUUACUUAGCCCAAGGAAUGUUAAGCAUAAGUUUAACGUACCAUCAUUAGGUUAUUAUAAAUGAUUAUUGAUGUUCUAUUUAUUGUUAUUAUUAACAUUGGUAAUUAUGGUAAGAAGCCCUCCUUGACAAUCUAAUAAGUAGUUAUGUUAGUUAGAAUAGAAAGUGAGACCAAUUUAACAUUCCCUCCCUCAAAAUGAAUAAUUAUAUGAGUAAGUGACUAAAAUAGUAUUUUAUCAUACAUAUAAAAUGUAGCAUUUGAUUUAAAGGUGUUUACACCUUCUGAAGACCAACGUUUGAGCUCAAGUUCAUGUUGAAAAUGUAUCAGAAAUAUGUCUUAGACAAAUGAAAAUAAGAUUCUUUGGAAAUGAAAUAGACAAAUAUUAGGAUUCCAUAUAGUAUAUAUACCUCUUUGGAGUUCCCUGGUGGAACAGUUUGUUAAAGAUUCAGCUUUGUCAUUGCUGUAGCUCAGACUGCUGCUGUGACAUGGGUUUGAUCCCUGGCCUGGGAACUGCUGAAUGCCCCAGGUGCAGCCAAAAAAUAUGUGUACCUUUUUCCCUCAUUUUAAGUUUAGAUUAUUAGAAACUUCAAUAUUUUAAGACCUCUCAUUCACAGAUCCAUUCAAAAUGAAUUAUUAAAUAAAUGUUCUGGAAUAUAUUUUUUUAUUUCCCCAAUACAUUUAUUUUUUUUCUGCUGUACAGCAUGGUGACCCAGUUACACAUACAUGUAUACAUUCUUGUUUCUCACAUUAUCAUGCUCCAUCAUUAGUAACCAGACAUAGUUCCCCGUGCUACACAACAGGAUCUCAUUGCUAAUCCAUUCCAAAGGCAAUAGUCUGCAUCUAUUAACCCCAAGCUUCCCAUCCAUCCCUCUCCCUCUCCUCCUCCUCCCCCUUGGCAACCACAAGUCUGUUCUCCAAGUCCAUGAUUUUCUUUUCUGUGGAAAGGUUCAUUUUGGCGGGAUAAAGACUCAAAGUAGAAAGACAUAGUAUCUAUGCCGGUAGAGUUUAUAAUCUAAUGGCUCAUGCAACCAGCUAAGGUGUACCUUUAAAUUGUGAUUUCAAUUAUGCAUUAAGCAUUUCUCUCCUAGGCUUAUAACAAUGAUUACAAAGUAACAUCCAUGAAUUUCCUAUGAAUUAUUUAACCAAUAACUAUUUUUAAAAGGGGCUCUUAGUUCAUUUCAACACAAAGAUACCUAUUCUUACCUCUGUGCCUUUUUUUCUCUCUUAGUUUUGUGUUCCUAAGUGUCAAAAUUAGAAGUAUUACAAUACAAAUAGUGGUAUGAUAUAAUAAUCAGAUAAGCUGCAGGUAAAUUUCUGUAUCACCCCAAGUUGCCAGGUGUAAAGUAGACCUGGAUUUAUGAAAGACUAAAUAUAUGUGUCACAAUUUUGAAUCAAAAGUAUUCACUCAUAUUACUUAGAAUGAAGCAAAAUUCAACAUGGUGUUAAAAUAAACAUCUGACCUUAAAAAAUUCCAGAGGCAAAGGAAAGAUUGUGUUUAUAAGUAUGAAUUAGGCUCUUCCUUGAUUAAAACGAAAUGUAGGACUUCCCACUGUGGAUCAGUGGGAUUGAUGGAGCUUCUGCAUUGCCAGGACACAGGUUCAAUCCCUAGCCCAGCACAGUGAGUUAAAGGAUCUGGUGAUGCCAGAGCUGUGGGGUCGGCUGCAACUGCAGCUCAGAUCUGAUCCCUGGCUGGGAACUCUAUAUGCCACCAGGUAAGAGUUUUUUCCUGAUAUGUAAACUUAUAUUAAUAAGAAAAUUAUACAUCACAGUGAAUAAUAAAGAACAAAUGAUGUGUAUAGACUCUUCACAGAAGCAAUGUACAUGGGUUACAUGAAUAGAAGAAAAAGAACACUACCAGUAACUAUGAAAUAGGAACCACACCAGUGUAGCAUAUUUUUGCAUAUCAGAUCCACAAAUGUGAAAAAAAAACCUCAACACUUACUGAAAUUUUGUGGGGAGAGGCAUAUUGUAUGAACUACUAAUACAGAAGAAUUUUCAAAACCUUGCAUAAUAGGUAUACUCCCUGACGCAGCAACCACAUGCCUCUCUGUGUACCUCUGAGAACCACUGGCCUGUAGCUCAUUGAUCACUGCUAUAAUACUUGUAAAAGAAAACUGUUGGAAACAAUAAAAAAUGUUCAUUAAUGCAGAUAAUUUUAAAUAAAUUAUGACAUUCAUAAUAUACAAUGAUUUUUAAUCAGUAAAAAAUGAGACUUGACAAGGCUUGAUCUCUAAAAUACAUUGUAAAAUAAAAAAUGAAUGCAGCAGGGCAAUAGAUACAGGAGAUCUACACUUCAUGAAAAAAUAGACAUAAAAUAAUCACCUACAUAUAUGUGUAGUUAAUAGUAAUCUUAGCCAUAGAGGACAAGCAUACUGAGUAUCUCUCUUUAUAUGGAGUUAUUCACUUCAAAUGAUUGUGCAAUAUGUUUCAUCUUGAUAAGACACAAACUCAGUCGUUUCCGUGAUUAUGAACCCAGGAUCAGGAGACUACUUAGCUACUGUUUCUGUAACCUGUGGACUUUAAUUCGUCUUUUAGUACUACAGUUUCUCAUUUAUAACAUAAAUAAAAUAAGUUGUGGGGUUUCUAUACUGUUUAAUGAUGUGCUUUAAAAGUUUUGAGUAUAUAAUAAUUGUUCAAAUGUAUUGCUUUGGUCACUAUAACUGUUAUUGGCUUUUUAAAUAUUAAUAUUUUAGGACUUUCUCCUUUCAUUCUAUCUAAACAAUAGUGUGUACUCAAGCUUUCUGGUCAUGCAGAAAGGAAGGUAAAGAAUCUGGUUCCUCCUGAGAUGCUCGCUGGCUAAGACUACAUACUUCUUCGAAGCCCAGUAAUUCUUUUACUUCCAUUGCAUGUGUCAUGGGUCCACCAUCCUUGAGACGUGUGAGAGCCCACUUCCUAAGUUUCAGUCUCUCUAGAAAAUCUAGUGACGUCAUUGCCUGCAGGGCAGUGCUUCUCUCCAGCUGUACUGUCACAGACGGAGCCACAACCCAUAGCUUUUCUAUGGAUCAAUGGCUUUAGUACUUGGAAGCUACAGUUUGAAGUAAUAGGCACCGUUUCACAAGAUUUGCAAUUUUCUUGUAUAUAUUGUAGUGUCCCCUACUGAUGACAUGUACACUUCCUAUUUUCUAAAAAAAAUCUACUUUCACAUACUAAAAACAAGUAAACAUGAAACUAGUGAUUUUCUCCCCAAAUUGCAUAUAUCUAUAGGCCCACCUAAUUUAUUGCAAUGUAUGUGCCCUAGAAAUACAGACAGAACAAAAAUAUAUACUCAACUACCUUGAUUUCAUAACAAUAGUGACACCUGAGGAGACGGGAAUGGCAAAGCUCAAGAAAGAAGGCAACUUUAUGGUGUUUAAAUGUUUCGCAGAAGGUUUUUAAGUAUCAAAUUAUGUACAUAAACAUCUAUCACCAAAUAUUUGAUUAACCUCAUAUUUAAUAGAGAUAUAAUGAAGUCUUACUGUUUCUUUUGAGGUUUAUCCAGAAUUAAAUUGUACCUCUGUAGAAGUAGCAUUUUAAAACUGCUAGUUAAAAAAUUUAACUGAAAAAAUUGUUAGUGAAUUAUACGACUAAAUUGUACCUGCCAUAUUAUAAAAUUUGGAAAAGAAAAAAAAAAA